CAGUAGCCACGGUAAUAAGAAGGGGGCUAGCGUUGCUCGGAAUUACUGGGCGUAAAGGGAGCGUAGGCGGAUCGUUAAGUUGGGGGUGAAAGCCCGGGGCUCAACCUCGGAACUGCCUUCAACACUGGCGAUCUUGAGUAUGAGAGAGGUGUGUGGAACUCCGAGUGUAGAGGUGAAAUUCGUAGAUAUUCGGAAGAACACCAGUGGCGAAGGCGACACACUGGCUCAUUACUGACGCUGAGGCUCGAAAGCGUGGGGAGCAAACAGGAUUAGAUACCCCAGUAGUCCCUGUCUCUUAUAC
rnacentral:rRNA from 1 species